rnacentral:tRNA from 1 species
GCGUCAGCUGGCAGCGGUUGCCAAGCGGCCUGUAAAGCCGUGGCCUUCGGGCACUGGGGGUUCGAAUCCCUCCUGACGCAC